rnacentral:rRNA from 1 species
GAUGAACGCUGGCGGCAUGCCUAACACAUGCAAGUCGAACGACAACACAGGGAGCUUUCGCCCCUGAGGUUGGCGCGUGACGGAUGAGUAACACAUGGAUAGCAUACCUCUAUGACGGGGGUGAUAACGUGGGACAAGUUCUACUAACGCAGCAUAUAUCGAACCGGAUGGUGCAGGAGUUCUAGGCGCUUUUCGCGAUACUAAUAGCCGAUGCCGGGCCGCAUUAGCUAGUUGGUAAAGUAACGGCUUACCAAGGCAACGAUGCGUAGCGGACCUGAGAGGGUGAUCAGCCACACUGGAACUGAGACACGGUCCAGACUCCUACGGGAGGCAGCAGUGGGGAAUCUUCCGCAAUGGGCGAAAGCCUGAUGGAGCAACGCCGCGUGAGUGAUGAAGGCCUUCGGAUCGUAAAGCUCUGUUGUUAGGAAAGAACAAAAGCGUAUUUAACCAUGCACGUCUUGACGGUACCUAAAGAAUAAGCCCCGGCUAACUACGUG